UGGUGCCCAACGUUGGGCUCAAGAAUGGGGGACUUCAUGAGGGAUGCUUUCAUGGGCCCAAAGUAGAAUAAAGGAGAAGAAAAUAGAGGACCUGACAACAUGGAAGCCUGCCACACCAUGCUGAACCUCAUUAACUGAACAGCAAUUAUGGGACAAGAAAUGAGCCAGCAUGAGAUUUUUGUUAAAGUCUAGGAAAGGCUUUAAAGGCGCAAGGAGCAAAGGUUAAAAUUAAGCAGUUGUGUCAAUAUUUUGAUUUUAUAAAAGAAGAUUGUCCUU
rfam:Cavia porcellus supercont2_122 genomic scaffold, whole genome shotgun sequence.